rnacentral:lncRNA from 1 species
GUGUGCUGUUCGGUUGUUUCUAUAUUUAAAUAUCUAAAGCUUACUGGUAGUUUUAGAUCAAGACAAAAAAUAUCAAAUGGAUUAAAAAAAAUGUUAUGAGUAGCUGUUAUCUGUUUUUAUAGAUUUAUGGUUUUUCAACUGUGACUCUUCCAUAAUUGCUAUCUUGCAAUUUGUCUAGUCUGUUUUGCAAAACCUGAAAUAUUG